rnacentral:rRNA from 1 species
CCCGUGAGGACGCCCUUUACCCCUACCCCAGGCUUAGGAGCUGGUAUCAGGCGCAACUUUUACGCCCAUAACACCUAGUCCCACCACACCCCCAAGGGUACUCAGCAGUGAUAAACAUUGUCUAUAAGCGCCAGCUUGACCCAGUUAUAAAGAAGAGGGCCGGCCAACUUGGUGCCAGCCGCCGCGGCUAGACCAACUGGACUCAAAUUGAUAAUUCCCGGCGUUAAGCGUGAUUAAAGCCAUACACCAAUUAGAGUUAAACCUAUGUUGAGCAGUGAAAAGCACACGAUAGGGAAACCCAGAAACGAAAGUUACUCUAAUCUCUGCUUGAAUACACGACAGCUAGAAAACAAACUGGGAUU